rnacentral:rRNA from 1 species
AUCUACAGCCAUACCACCCUGAACAUCUUGUCGGAUGUCAGAAGCUAAGGUUAGUACUUGGAUGGCAAACUGCCUGGGAAUAAUACUGGGUGCUGUAGGCU